rnacentral:rRNA from 1 species
GACGAACGCUGGCGGCGUGCUUAACACAUGCAAGUCGAACGGUAAGGCCCUUCGGGGUACACGAGUGGCGAACGGGAGAGUAACACGUGGGUGAUCUGCCCUGCACUUCGGGAUAAGCCUGGGAAACUGGGUCUAAUACCGGAUAGGACCACUGCCUGCAUGGGUGGUGGUGGAAAGCUUUUGCGGUGGGGGAUGGGCCCGCGGCCUAUCAGCUUGUUGGUGGGGUGAUGGCCUACCAAGGCGACGACGGGUAGCCGGCCUGGGAGGGUGACCGGCCACACUGGGACUGGGAUGCGGCCCAGACUCCUACGGGAGGCAGCAGUGGGGAAUAUUGCACAAUGGGCGCAAGCCUGAUGCAGCGACGCCGCGUGAGGGAUGACGGCCUUCGGGUUGUAAACCUCUUUCAGCACCGACGAAGCGCAAGUGACGGUAGGUGCAGAAGAAGGACCGGCCAACUACGUGCCAGCCGCCGCCGUAA